rnacentral:rRNA from 1 species
UAGGGAAUCUUCCGCAAUGGACGCAAGUCUGACGGAGCAACGCCGCGUGAGUGAAGAAGGAUUUCGGUUCGUAAAACUCUGUUGUUAGAGAAGAACAGCGCAUAGAGUAACUGUUAUGCGUGUGACGGUAUCUAACCAGAAAGCCACGGCUAACUACGUGCCAGCAGCCGCGGUAAUACGUAGGUGGCAAGCGUUGUCCGGAUUUAUUGGGCGUAAAGCGAGCGCAGGCGGUCAAUUAAGUCUGAUGUGAAAGCCCCCGGCUCAACCGGGGAGGGUCAUUGGAAACUGGUUGACGUGAGUGCAGAAGAGGAGAGUUGAAUUCCAUGUGUAGCGGUGAAAUGCGUAUAUAUAUGGAGGAACACCAGUAGCGAAGGCGACUCUCUGGUCUGUAACUGACGCGGAGGCUCGAAAGCGUGGGUAGCAAACAGG